rfam:Podiceps cristatus contig148456, whole genome shotgun sequence.
ACAAAGGCUCUUUUAAGAGCCAAUCCAUGUACACUAAAAAGAGCUGU